rnacentral:rRNA from 1 species
AUCAUUUGUCUCUUAAUUAGAGGCUUGCAUGAAUGGUUGGAUGAGAUAAUAGCUGUUUCAAUUAAAUUAAAUUGAAUUUUAAAUUUUAAUAAAAAUGUUAAAAUUUUUAAAAAAGACGAGAAGACCCUAUAAAUUUUUAUUAUAAAAUUAAUUUUUAAUUUUGAUUUCUAUUUUUAAUCUAAUUGAUUUAAUAAUUGUAUUGGGGCGAUAUUGAAAUUUGUAAAACUUUCAAAAAUUUUAUAUACUUAUAAAUAAAUAAUUGAUCCAGUUUUAUUGAUUAAUAAAUUAAGUUACUUUAGGGAUAACAGCGUAAUAUUUUUAGAGAGUU